UACGGAAGGCAGCAGUGGGGAAUAUUGGACAAUGGGCGAAAGCCUGAUCCAGCAAUGCCGCGUGAGUGAUGAAGGCCCUCGGGUCGUAAAGCUCUUUUACCAGGGAUGAUAAUGACAGUACCUGGAGAAUAAGCUCCGGCUAACUCCGUGCCAGCAGCCGCGGUAAUACGGAGGGAGCUAGCGUUGUUCGGAAUUACUGGGCGUAAAGCGCACGUAGGCGGCUACUCAAGUCAGAGGUGAAAGCCCGGGGCUCAACCCCGGAACUGCCUUUGAAACUAGGUAGCUAGAAUCUUGGAGAGGCGAGUGGAAUUCCGAGUGUAGAGGUGAAAUUCGUAGAUAUUCGGAAGAACACCAGUGGCGAAGGCGACUCGCUGGACAAGUAUUGACGCUGAGGGUGCGAAAGCGUGGGGAGCAAACAGGGAUUAGAUACC
rnacentral:rRNA from 1 species